rnacentral:rRNA from 1 species
ACAUGCCUACAACAUAGCGUUAAUGCAUCGUAUCCCAUUAGAAUUCCGCAGUUAAGCACGCCCGGGCUAGAUUAGUACUAGGAUGGGUGAUCUCUCGGUAAGUACUAGUAUUUUACAUGCC